GAGGAGCUGAACAUAACAGUAUCUUGGUGGGGGAUGGGGGCGGGGAGGUGGUUACUUGUGCCAGUGCCAAAGUCCAGAAAAAAAGGGGGGGGGGUGGGAGAACGGCAAAUCGAUGCACUCGGCACAAAGUUCAAACUGGAUUUCUGCCUGGGACCAGAGGUCAGGGGUUCCAACUCCGCGGUGUCAAGCCCCUGCCAGGGAUGCUCCCACCCCUCCCCCACCCUUGCCAACGCCAGCUUGGCAGUGGCAGGAAGUGGGAGCCUGGCGGCCUUGGUAUUCCCAGCACCCAGCUCUGGCUGGACGGGGCUCCUGGUGACCUCACUUCCACGAAGCCAGCUGGUCCUCUCCGGCUCCACCUUCUACCUUAAGGCUGAACAGUGCCCUUUCUCUGUCCAGGGAAGCUUCUGCUGGCACCAUGGAUACUCCUGCCACAGGCUGCCACCAGGUGGAGAGCUGGUGCAAGCCAAAUGGGCCCUGAGAGGCCUAGCUCCCCACAAUCUGCACCCCAAGGCGUCCCCCUUCACUCCCUGGGGACAGGAGGCUCUCAUCACCACUCCUGUUUUGCUACUGACCCUGCUGCAGCUGGUCCACACUGGGAUCGUUUGGGGAAACACCAAACUUGGGCAAAAAGUAACCAGCUUGCUUCGUGUCCCAGGACUGGAGUGAGACAAGAGGAUGACAGGGCAAGACCACCUGCCCCUGGAAGAGGAGCGGACACGCAGGGAGAAGCCGGCCAUGUGAACACAGACGCAGAGAUCCGAGUGGUGUAUUUACAAGCCAACAAAUGGCGAGCAUCACCAGGAGCCACCAGAAGCUGGAGGAGGCAAAGAAGGAGACCCCCGCCUCCCGCCCCCCAGAGCCUUCAGAGGGCUUCUAACUUCCAGCUGUGGUUUGUGUUGUUGGCUCAACCAAGAUCCUCCUUUGUCCUGUGCUGCCAGGAUUUUCCUGAAGUUUCUCCAGGUUGGCCCCAAAUCUCACUGCUUGGAGAAGCUGAAUGUCAACUUUGGAUCCAGAAUUUCCAUUGCACCUUCCCUCCUCUGAAGCAUUUGUGAAAAUGUUAAUUAAUCGUGGUUCAAACAGAGACCCCUGUGCCAACUCUGCCACCAUUCAGACAAGUGUUUCCGUUCUGUCUUUAGUCAGUUGGUUUCUGUUUGUAUUUGGCUCCAUGCAUUCCAAAAGGAAUUUGAGGAAUUCAAAACCCGCCUACACCAGAGGCCAGGUAAUGAUACCGCCUGAAGCAAUCUUUCGCCCCGGAGUGACCUGGCUUGUUCCUAUAUCUGAGCGUUACAUUUGCUUUUAGAUUUCCUGGCAUCCAGGAUAAAUGGGAAGCCAGAUGGGAUAUACAAUCGGUUGACUUGUAAAUCUUCAAUAAUCUGGAUGGGCCUCAUCCAAUUAAUUGAAAGAACUUAGAGCAAAACUGAGGUUUCCCCGAGGAAGAAGAAAUUCUGUUCAAAAUUGUAGCAUCAGCUUCUCCCUGAGAAUUUUCAGCCUGCCAGUCUACCCUACAGAUUUUGGACAGGCCAGCCCCCCCAGAGUCACGAAAGCCAAUUCCUUGAACUAAACAUCUCUCAGUAUAUUUCAUCCUGGUAUGUUUCUCUGAAUCAAUAUAACAUAUAAUGCUUUGGUAAAAGUAUGAUAAGGGUCAACAUUGGCUGAGAGUUGGGGAAACAAACACUCGUACUUACACCAUUGGUGGGAACAUACGUUGGGGCAUUUGGAAGAGCAACUGACAAUAUCUACUGAAGUUACAAAUGCAAAUUCCUUUGUCUCAACAGUUCUAUGGCUUUAGUGCACAAGUUCACCAAGAUAUGUGUACAAGGAUGUUCAUCGCAGCAUUUGUAAGCGCAAAUAAUGCAGCAAUUGGGACUGCUUAAAUAAACUGUAGGGGCGCCUGGGGGGCUCAGUUGAGCGUCCGACUUCGGCUCAGGUCAUGAUCUCGAGGUCCGUGAGUUCGAGCCCCGCGUUGGGCUCUGU